GGGGAAUUUUCCGCAAUGGGCGCAAGCCUGACGGAGCAAGACCGCGUGAGGGAAGAAGGUCUGUGGAUUGUAAACCUCUUUUGAUAGGGAAGAAGACAGUGACGGUACCUAUCGAAUCAGCCUCGGCUAACUCCGUGCCAGCAGCCGCGGUAAUACGGAGGAGGCAAGCGUUAUCCGGAAUUAUUGGGCGUAAAGAGUCCGUAGGUGGGUAACCAAGUCAGCUGUUAAAUAGUGAAGCUUAACUUCAUAGAGGCGGCUGAAACUGGUUGUCUAGAGUGUGGUAGGGGUAGAGGGAAUUUCCAGUGUAGCGGUGAAAUGCGUAGAUAUUGGAAAGAACACCGGUGGCGAAAGCGCUCUACUGGGCCUGCACUGACACUGAGGGACGAAAACUAGGGGAGCGAAAGGGAUUAGAUACCCCUGUAGUCCUAGCCGUAAACGAUGGAUACUAGGCGUUGCCCGUAUCGACCCGGGCAGUGUCGUAGCCAACGCGUUAAGUAUCC
rnacentral:rRNA from 1 species